rnacentral:rRNA from 1 species
GCUGGCGGCGGCCUAUACAUGCAAGUCGAGCGGUCACUUCGGUGGCAGCGGCGGACGGGUGAGUAACGCGUGGGAAUAUGCCCUUUGGUACGGAACAACUGAGGGAAACUUCAGCUAAUACCGUAUGUGCCCUUCGGGGGAAAGAUUUAUCGCCAUUGGAGUAGCCCGCGUUGGAUUAGGUAGUUGGUGAGGUAAAGGCUCACCAAGCCGACGAUCCAUAGCUGGUCUGAGAGGAUGAUCAGCCACACUGGGACUGAGACACGGCCCAGACUCCUACGGGAGGCAGCAGUAGGGAAUCUUGCGCAAUGGGCGAAAGCCUGACGCAGCCAUGCCGCGUGAAUGAUGAAGGUCUUAGGAUUGUAAAAUUCUUUCACCGGGGAAGAUAAUGACGGUACCCGGAGAAGAAGCCCCGGCUAACUUCGUGCCAGCAGCCGCGGUAAUACGAAGGGGGCUAGCGUUGCUCGGAAUUACUGGGCGUAAAGGGCGCGUAGGCGGAUAGUUUAGUCAGAGGUAAAAGCCCAGGGCUCAACCUUGGAACUGCCUUUGAUACUGGCUAUCUUGAGUUCGGGAGAGGUGAGUGGAAUGCCGAGUGUAGAGGUGAAAUUCGUAGAUAUUCGGCGGAACACCAGUGGCGAAGGCGACUCACUGGCCCGAUACUGACGCUGAGGCGCGAAAGCGUGGGGAGCAAAUAGGAUUAGAUACCCUGGUAGUCCACGCUGUAAACGAUGAGUGCUAGUUGUCGGCAUGCAUGCAUGUCGGUGACGCAGCU